rnacentral:rRNA from 1 species
GGCGAACGCUGGCGGCGUGCUUAACACAUGCAAGUCGAACGGAAAGGCCCUGCUUUUGUGGGGUGCUCGAGUGGCGAACGGGUGAGUAACACGUGAGUAACCUGCCCUUGACUUUGGGAUAACUUCAGGAAACUGGGGCUAAUACCGGAUAGGAGCUCCUGCUGCAUGGUGGGGGUUGGAAAGUUUCGGCGGUUGGGGAUGGACUCGCGGCUUAUCAGCUUGUUGGUGGGGUAGUGGCUUACCAAGGCUUUGACGGGUAGCCGGCCUGGGAGGGUGACCGGCCACAUUGGGACUGAGGUGCCGCCCAGACUCCUACGGGAGGCAGCAGUGGGGAAUAUUGCACAAUGGGCGGAAGCCUGAUGCAGCAACGCCGCGUGCGGGAUGACGGCCUUCGGGUUGUAAACCGCUUUCGCCUGUGACGAAGCGUGAGUGACGGUAAUGGGUAAAGAAGCACCGGCUAACUACGUG